CACUGCGCUUGCUAAUAGCGUGAUUGGUACGAUGCGGCCGCUAUAUCGACUAUCAGAGCGCAAUAGCGGGCCUUUCUGUAGCGUAGGCUGCGGUCAUAGCAGACAACUGAAGAAAUUAUCCUACAUAUAAAUUCGGGACGCACAUCCCACCGAUCAACCCUAGUUUGACCCACUCCUCUUAUCCUGGCGGCGGGCGGCAGGCGGCUGACACUUCCCUAGCGGCGGUGCGGCUAACGGCGGAGGCCGGACAAAGAGGCGAAGCCAGGCUCCUGGCUCCUGUUGGACGCCCUUCCCUGGCCGCCGACGGGCCGGUGCGGGCCGACACGGCGAGUCGGCGCCUCGGCGGGCAGUACCUCACUAGGACGUUGGUGCUCAAGCUCAACGCCCUCAUCUCCUCCCUGGUCGCUGCUCAAUGCCCCCAUCGUCCCAUCCCCUACUGGCCCACGUCCCAAUCAGUCGCUCCACUCCCUAGCUCGCAAUCUUCAGUCUGGCAGCUCAUCACCUCAAGUAGUAGUCUACUAGCACAAUGUCUUCAGCAGGAUCAGGGGCUUCUUCUACAACCACAGCCGGAAGAACAAGAAAAUAUCCUGCCUAGUGAUGUUGAAGAAGAGGAGGAAGAGGUGGAGAAUCAAGAAGUUAAGGAAGAUAUUGAUUAAGAAGACCAGGAAGUUGAGGAUGAUAUUGAUUACGAAGACCAAGAAGUGGACAUGGAUUUGACAGGACAAGUCUAUGUGUUGUGUCCUACCAAUAGUUUUUGUUUGCAUGGUUACAUGGGUGAAUACUGUCCAGAUGGAUAGUUAUAGUCUAUAUGCUUAUAUAAAUGAUGAUUGUUCAAUUCAAGUGUCAGAUUGUUGUCAACGUCCUUAGAAAUGUACAUAAUAAUCUCAAAUUUGCAAGUGCUUUUACAAAUCCGUUAUGUGGACACAACGUCCGCAAUAUUGAAGGAAAUAUGCCCUAGAGGCAAUAAUAAAGUUGUUAUUUAUAUUUCCUUA